rnacentral:rRNA from 1 species
UACGUAGGUGGCAAGCGUUGUCCGGAUUUACUGGGCGUAAAGAGCGCGCAGGCGGUCGUUCAAGUCGAGUGUGAAAGCCCCCGGCUCAACUGGGGAGGGUCACUCGAUACUGAUCGACUCGAAGGCAGAAGAGGGAAGCGGAAUUCCCGGUGUAGUGGUGAAAUGCGUAGAUAUCGGGAGGAACACCAGUGGCGAAGGCGGCUUUCUGGUCUGCUCUUGACGCUGAGGCGCGAAAGCUAGGGGAGCAAACGGG